AGGUGGAAGGUAGCAACUCUAGUUGUCAAUCUUAAGAUUGAGGAGGGGAGGUGGAUGGUAGAACUCUAGUUGUCAAUCUUAAGAUUGAGGAGGGGAGGUGGAUGGUAGAAACUCUAGUUGUCAAUCUUAAGAUUGAGGAGGGGAGGUGGAUGGUAGAAACUCUAGUUGUCAAUCUUAAGAUUGAGGAGGGGAGGUGGAUGGUAGAAACUCUAGUUGUCAAUCUUAAGAUUGAGGAGGGGAGGUGGAUGGUAGAAACUCUAGUUGUCAAUCUUAAGAUUGAGGAGGGGAGGUGGAUGGUAGAAACUCUAGUUGUCAAUCUUAAGAUUGAGGAGGGGAGGUGGAUGGUAGAAACUCUAGUUGUCGAUCUUAAGAUUGAGGAGGGGAGGUGGAUGGUAGAAACUCUAGUUGUCGAUCUUAAGAUUGAGGAGGGGAGGUGGAUGGUAGAAACUCUAGUUGU